CGUAGGGUGCAGGCGUUAAUCGGAAUUACUGGGCGUAAAGCGUGCGCAGGCGGUUUGCUAAGACAGGUGUGAAAUCCCCGGGCUUAACCUGGGAACUGCGCUUGUUACUGGCAGGCUUGAGUGUGGCAGAGGGGGUGGAAUUCCACGUGUAGCAGUGAAAUGCGUAGAGAUGUGGAGGAACACCGAUGGCGAAGGCAGCCCCCUGGGCUAACACUGACGCUCAUGCACGAAAGCGUGGGGAGCAAACAGGAUUAGAUACCCUGGUAGUCCACGCCCUAAACUAUGUCAACUGGUUGUCGGGGAAGCAAUUCCUUGGUAACGAAGCUAACGCGUGAAGUUGACCGCCUGGGGAGUACGGCCGCAAGGUUA
rnacentral:rRNA from 1 species